UCCUUGAUGCCAUUCAAAUCUGCUGCUGCUGAUCUCUUGGUUAAGAUUAUAGUUUUCCAUGGCCUCUAUUAUAUGGUAUGAUAGUUGCCAAGGUGCAUGUUGGCCAUGGAAGAUACACAAGGAGCCAAGUGAAGAUCCCAAAUGUUUGUUCACUUGACUUGGUGGACUCGAGGAAGAACGCUGCUUGCAGAGAGCCUAAAUCAAAAAGGCCAAGAUUGUACAUGAUGAGCUAGUGAGAUUGCUGGGUGGAGGAAAAGUAUUUGGUACUCUCUGAUCUAAAGAGGAAGCAAAAGACAACGAGUCCCUUGAAAAGACCUCUUCGGAUACAGUUACAUAUGCGAGACGAGAGAUAUGGAGCUGGUUGAAAUCGAAGAUAUGGAGUUUGGUAGGUGCAUGUUGGCCAUGAAAGAUACAUUACGGAAGGAGCCAAGUUAAGAGCCAAGAUGUUUGUUCGGUUGAGGAGGCCGCUUGCCCUUGAGCUCAAAGGCCAAGGUUUUUUGGAAGCAAAUUUAUGAUCCGAUCAUCAUCGCUCGCUUCCUCCUCCAACGGAAUGGGAUCAGUACUGUCUCUAUGAUUCUUUGUGAUGCUACUUACUAAGGUUGACGCUAUAGAUGGAAUUGUCCAUGUAUCAUGUAUAUAUACGUCUCUACAAGGUUUUGGAUGAUGCUUUUAUUAUCAAUCAGUGAUGGCUCUCACUGAUCUUCCUCAGGCAUGCUCAUGGAGUUUGGAUGAUGCUUUUAUCAAUCAGUGGUUGUUUUUGACUGAUCGGACCAUAUCAGCAGUUGGUGAAGGUGGAAUUGAAGGAAUGGGAUCAGUGUCUCUUGAUGCUUGGACUUGGUGAUGCUAAGGUUGACGCUUUAGAUUGAAUUGUCUAUGAAGCUAAAGAUGCGCAGGUAAACUGGAUUGGGUCUUCGAAUCACUACACGCUUUUAGAUCCUCUAAAUGGAGAACCUCUCAUUAAAGUUGCUGAAGUUGAUGAAACAGAAACUCAGGUGCGAUCCUAUCAAAACAGUUAUUUGUGUGUGUGUGUGUGUGUGUGUUGUUGUUUCAUAUGUGAAUGCUUGGUUUCUCUAAUGGUCCUCUUUGUUUUCUUUUCUCUCAAGUUGGUGAAAACCCAACAGCGUUCGGCUGGGGAUAUUUUGGAGUUACUCCUGAAACAGCUUUGUCGUAAUGCUGUCAAAGGAUGGAUCACAACAAGCAGCAACAUGGAGUGUCCUCAAGGAUUUUCAAAUUUUCUCAGGAGGACUACCUAGAGAAAGGUAUCACUGGACAUGAUGAUGACUUGCCACAGCGCAAGACCCAUUUUAUAGUUUCUCUGUAGGUUUCUUCGGAUGCUUGCCAUGAUCUCACUUUGCUGGUCGCUGCAGUAGCGUCUUUUGCACUUGGGAUAAAAAAACAGAGUGUAUAUCAAAGAAGGAUUGUAUGAUACAGGAAGCAUUGCAUUUCCAGUGAUUAUUGUCACAGGUUCACUCUGAUAUGGAGGGGGGUUUUAUCUCUCAUAUACUCGGAGCAAACCUAAAGAACGAGGUCCGUAUGGUGAUUGGUGACAAUAUCCAAACUGCUAGGGGUCUUGCUUAGGAGUGUGGAAUAUUAACUUCAGAUACAUAUGCCUCCGGGCUUACUCUUAGAAGACAAAUGCAUGUUGUUGCUGUGACCGGAGAUGGGACAAAUGAUGCCCCUGCAUUACACGAGGCAGAUAUUGGUCGUUCUAUAGGAAUAGGAGGAACAGAAGUGGCUAAGGAGAGUUCGGAUAUCAUCAUCUUGGAUGACAACUUCGCUUCAGUUGUCAAGUGAGCUAUGGAGUUGGGUGAAAUCGAAGACUGUUAGCAAGGGAAGAUACACAAGGAGCCAAGUGAAGAGCCGAGAUGUUUGUUCAGUUGACUGGUGGACUUGAGGAAGCUGCUUGCAGUCCAAAGUCAAACUCAAAAAGGCCAAGAUUUGAUUUUUUUUUUUUUCUCUCUUCCUCUAUUUUUUUUUCCAUUGAGCUCAAAUUAGGAUUCUCUUGGCGGUUUUGCUAACAGGUAAGCCUCCCAAUUGUUAGAAGGUAUUUUUUGUUUCUGUGUCAUCUCCUUAGUGUUGUUGUUUGACCUAGUUUCGUUUUUCACUUCUUGUGUGUUGUUGUUUCAUUUGUGAAUGCAAGGCUUCUAAUGGUCUUCUUUGUUUUUUUCUCUCAGGUUGGUGAAAACUCAAUGUAGACAUCAAUCCAAAUUGUACAUGAUGAGCUACUGAAAUUGAUGGUGGGGGAGAAAGUAUCUGAGCUACCAGCAUUUCAGCUUCUCUCUCUCCACG